rnacentral:rRNA from 1 species
UGGGGAAUAUUGGACAAUGGGCGAAAGCCUGAUCCAGCCAUGCCGCGUGUGUGAAGAAGGUCUUCGGAUUGUAAAGCACUUUAAGUUGGGAGGAAGGGCAUUAACCUAAUACGUUAGUGUUUUGACGUUACCGACACAAUAAGCACCGGCUAACUCUGUGCCAGCAGCCGCGGUAAUACAGAGGGUGCAAGCGUUAAUCGGAAUUACUGGGCGUAAAGCGCGCGUAGGUGGUUCGUUAAGUUGGAUGUGAAAUCCCCGGGCUCAACCUGGGAACUGCAUUCAAAACUGACUGACUAGAGUAUGGUAGAGGGUGGUGGAAUUUCCUGUGUAGCGGUGAAAUGCGUAGAAAUAGGAAGGAACACCAGUGGCGAAGGCGACCACCUGGACUAAUACUGACACUGAGGUGCGAAAGCGUGGGGAGCAAACA